rnacentral:snoRNA from 13 species
AAUAAGUGAUGAAAAAUGUUUUGGUCCCAGAUGAUGAUCGGUGAUAAAUCUUUUUUCUGAUGUU